rnacentral:rRNA from 1 species
UACGAAGGGGGCUAGCGUUGUUCGGAGUCACUGGGCGUAAAGCGCACGCAGGCGGAUCGUUAAGUCAGGGGUGAAAUGCCGAGGCUCAACCUCGGAACUGCCUUUGAUACUGGCGAUCUUAGAGUCCGGGAGAGGUGAGUGGAACUCCGAGUGUAGAGGUGAAAUUCGUAGAUAUUCGGAAGAACACCAGUGGCGAAGGCGGCUCACUGGACUGGUAUUGACGCUGAGGUGCGAAAGCGUGGGGAGCAAACAGG